rnacentral:rRNA from 1 species
UACAGAGGUCUCAAGCGUUGUUCGGAUUCAUUGGGCGUAAAGGGUGCGUAGGCGGCGCGGUAAGUCGGGUGUGAAAUCUCGGAGCUUAACUCCGAAACUGCAUUCGAUACUGCCGUGCUUGAGGACUGGAGAGGAGACUGGAAUUUACGGUGUAGCGGUGAAAUGCGUAGAUAUCGGAAAGAACAUCGAUGGCGAAGGCAGCUACCUGGGUCCAGACUGACACUUAAGUGCGAAAGCGUGGGGAGCAAACAGG